UGGGGAAUAUUGGACAAUGGGGGGAACCCUGAUCCAGCAAUGCCGCGUGUGUGAAGAAGGCCUGAGGGUUGUAAAAUCCUUUCGUUGGGGACGAUAAUGACGGUACCCAAAGAAGAAGCUCCGGCUAACAUCGUGCCAGCAGCCGCGGUAAUACGAAGGGGGCUAGCGUUGUUCGGAUUUACUGGGCGUAAAGCGCGUGUAGGCGGAUUUGUAAGUUGGGGGUGAAAUCCCGAGGCUCAACCUCGGAACUGCCUCCAAAACUACAAGUCUGGACCUAAGUAGAGGCAAGUGGAAUUGCGAGUGUAGAGGUGAAAUUCGUAGAUAUUCGCAGGAACACCUGAGGUGAAGACGGGUUGCUGGGCUGACACUGACGCUGAGGCGCGAAAGCCAGGGGAGCAAACGGGAUUAGAUACCCCUGUAGUCCCUGAGCGGGCUGGCAAGGCGCAU
rnacentral:rRNA from 1 species